rnacentral:snRNA from 1 species
GCUCACUUUGGAAGCAUACAUAGAAACUGGAACAAUACAAAAAUUAACAUAGCCCCUGUGUAAGGAUGACAGAAAAAUCUGUGAAUCAUUCCAUAUUUGG